GAUGAACGCUAGCUACAGGCUUAACACAUGCGAGUCGAGGGGCAGCAUGGUCUUAGCUUGCUAAGGCCGAUGGCGACCGGCGCACGGGUGAGUAACACGUAUCCAACCUGCCGUCUACUCUUGGACAGCCUUCUGAAAGGAAGAUUAAUACAAGAUGGCAUCAUGAGUUCACAUGUUCACAUGAUUAAAGGUAUUCCGGUAGACGAUGGGGAUGCGUUCCAUUAGAUAGUAGGCGGGGUAACGGCCCACCUAGUCUUCGAUGGAUAGGGGUUCUGAGAGGAAGGUCCCCCACAUUUGAACUGAGACACGGUCCAAACUCCUACGGGAGGCAGCAGUGAGGAAUAUUGGUCAAUGGGCGAGAGCCUGAACCAGCCAAGUAGCGUGAAGGAUGACUGCCCUAUGGGUUGUAAACUUCUUUUAUAAAGGAAUAAAGUCGGGUAUGUAUACCCGUUUGCAUGUACUUUAUGAAUAAGGAUCGGCUAACUCCGUG
rnacentral:rRNA from 1 species